CAAAACGAAGAGAACGGUGAGGGACCAUCAACAAAGUCGUGUCCAAAUAAAUGCACCCCCUCCUUUUCAAUAUAAGCAUGCUUGUGGUGCUUUUUCCUGACCACUUCAGCAAAUGGUAAAACAUAAGUGUACUCGUGUAGACGAAGAAUUCUCGUUAAAUCUUACACCGACUGUUACCAAAAAAAUAGCACGAGACCAAAGAGAUUCAAUGAGGAGCAAACACAUGCCGUACGCUCAGGUGACCAUGGCAGUCCGGUACAAUGGUUUGUCACACUGCAAGAUUGCUCUGGUGUUUGCAGUGCUGAUGGACCUAAUGGGGGCAACGGCCUUGCUCUUGGGAGUUUUUGCCCCCCUGGAGAUAAAGGGCCGGGAUUUUGGGGACCUGC